GCAUGGGUUUGGAUUUAUGGCAGGCCCAGCCCCAUGGGCCUCUCACUGUGUCUCAUGCAUGCCAGAGCACACUGUAGCCCUGGACCAUUUCCGUGCCUCCUAGCCCAUAGGCUUCUGGCACUGAAGCAGGUUGCACAGUG
ensembl:snoRNA